UACGUAGGUGGCGAGCGUUAUCCGGAUUUAUUGGGUUUAAAGGGUGCGUAGGCGGAUCGUUAAGUCAGUGGUCAAAUUGAGGGGCUCAACCCCUUCCCGCCAUUGAAACUGGCGAUCUUGAGUGGAAGAGAAGUAUGCGGAAUGCGUGGUGUAGCGGUGAAAUGCAUAGAUAUAUGGAAGAACACCAGUGGCGAAAGCGGCUCUCUGGUCUGUAACUGACGCUGAGGUACGAAAGCGUGGGUAGCAAACAGG
rnacentral:rRNA from 1 species